rnacentral:rRNA from 1 species
AGCAGCCGCGGUAAUUCCAGCUCCAAUAGCGUAUAUUAAAGUUGUUGCAGUUAAAAAGCUCGUAGUUGAAUUUCGGGAUUAGUACGCUGGUCAUGCCUUUGGUAUGUACUGGUGUUACUGGUUCCUACCUUCUGAAGAACCGUUAUGUCAUUAAUUUGGUGUGGCGGGGAAUCAGGGACUGUUACUUUGAAAAAAUUAGAGUAGUUUAAAGCAGGCUCGCGCUUGAAUACAUUAGCAUGGAAUAAUGAAAUAGGACGUUGAUCCUAUUUUGUUGGUUUCUAGGAUUGACGUAAUGAUUAAUAGGGAUAGUUGGGGGCAUUAGUAUUCAAUUGUCAGAGGUGAAAUUCUUGGAUUUAUUGAAGACUAACUACUGCGAAAGCAUUUGCCAAGGAUGUUUUCAUUAAUCAAGA